rnacentral:rRNA from 1 species
UACGAAGGGUGCAAGCGUUACUCGGAAUUACUGGGCGUAAAGCGUGCGUAGGUGGUUCGUUAAGUCUGAUGUGAAAGCCCUGGGCUCAACCUGGGAAUGGCAUUGGAUACUGGCGGGCUAGAGUGCGGUAGAGGGCAGUGGAAUUCCCGGUGUAGCAGUGAAAUGCGUAGAGAUCGGGAGGAACAUCUGUGGCGAAGGCGACUGCCUGGACCAGCACUGACACUGAGGCACGAAAAGCUAGGGGAGCAAACAGG